AACCUUUAGCAAAACAAAUAUUAAAGGCAACGCCUGCCCAGUGAACAAUUAAACGGCCGCGGUACCCUAACCGUGCAAAGGUAGCGUAAUCACUUGUCUAUUAAUUGUAGACCCGUAUGAAAGGCAAAAUGAGGGCCUAACUGUCUCUUAUAAUAAAUCAAUUAAACUGAUCUCCCAGUCCAAAAGCUGGAAUACCAACAUAAGACCAGAAGACCCUGUGAAGCUUAAACUAAACUAUUAAGUCAUAUAAUAACUACUUUCGGUUGGGGCGACCUUGGAAAUAAAAAGAACUUCCAAAUAAAUGACCUUCCCUCAUACCUUUAGGCCAACAAGCCUGACAUAGACCCAGCAUAGCUGAUAAUUGAACCAAGUUACUCCAGGGAUAACAGCGCUAUCUUCUUCAAGAGCCCAUAUCAAAAAGAAGGUUUACGACCUCGAUGUUGGAUCAGGACAUCCUAUUGGUGCAACAGCUAUUAAGGGUUCGUUUGUUCAACGAUUAACAGUCCU
rnacentral:rRNA from 1 species